rnacentral:rRNA from 1 species
GUGGGGAAUAUUGGACAAUGGGCGAAAGCCUGAUCCAGCCAUGCCGCGUGUGUGAAGAAGGUCUUCGGAUUGUAAAGCACUUUAAGUUGGGAGGAAGGGCAGUAAGUUAAUACCUUGCUGUUUUGACGUUACCGACAGAAUAAGCACCGGCUAACUUCGUGCCAGCAGCCGCGGUAAUACGAAGGGUGCAAGCGUUAAUCGGAAUUACUGGGCGUCAAGCGCGCGUAGGUGGGUUUGUAAGUUGGAGGUGAAAUCCCCGGGCUCAACCUGGGAACUGCCUCCAAAACUGCAUGACUAGAGUACGGUAGAGGGUAGUGGAAUUUCCUGUGUAGCGGUGAAAAGCGUAGAUAUAGGAAGGAACACCAGUGGCGAAGGCGACUACCUGGACUGAUACUGACACUGAGGUGCGAAAGCGUGGGGAGCAAACAGGAUUAGAAACCCCUGUAGUCC